UCCAAGAGUCAAUGAUUCGUU
rnacentral:piRNA from 1 species